rnacentral:rRNA from 1 species
UACGUAGGGUGCAAGCGUUAAUCGGAAUUACUGGGCGUAAAGCGCACGUAGGUGGUUUGUUAAGUCAGCUGUGAAAUCCCCGGGCUCAACCUGGGCACUGCAGUUGGAACUGGCAAGCUAGAGUAGGGUAGAGGGGUGUGGAAUUCCAGGUGUAGCGGUGAAAUGCGUAGAUAUCUAGAGGAACAUCAGUGGCGAAGGCGACACCCUGGACUCAUACUGACACUGAGGUGCGAAAGCGUGGGGAGCAAACAGG